rnacentral:rRNA from 1 species
AGGACGAACGCUGGCGGCGUGCUUAACACAUGCAAGUCGAGCGGUAAGGCCCUUUCGGGGGUACACGAGCGGCGAACGGGUGAGUAACACGUGGGUGACCUGCCCCUACUCUGGGAUAAGCCUGGGAAACUGGGUCUAAUACCGGAUAUGAUUCAAGGCUGCAUGGUUUUGGGUGGAAAGCUUUGUGGUGGGGAUGGGCCCGCGGCCUAUCAGCUUGUUGGUGGGGUGAUGGCCUACCAAGGCUUCGACGGGUA